rnacentral:rRNA from 1 species
GUUUGACAUGUUACUUUUUUUUAUCAUCACCCGCGCGGAUAAAAUAGCAUAUCAAUAAGCGGAGGAAAAGAAACCAACAGGGACUGCCCUAGUAACGGCGAGUGAAGCGGCAACAGCUCAAAUUUGAAAUCUGGCUCUUUCAGAGUCCGAGUUGUAAUUUGCAGAGGGCGCUUUGGCUUUGGCAGCGGUCCAAGUUCCUUGGAACAGGACGUCACAGAGGGUGAGAAUCCCGUACGUGGUCGCUAGCUAUUGCCGUGUAAAGCCCCUUCGACGAGUCGAGUUGUUUGGGAAUGCAGCUCUAAAUGGGAGGUAAAUUUCUUCUAAAGCUAAAUAUUGGCCAGAGACCGAUAGCGCACAAGUAGAGUGAUCGAAAGAUGAAAAGCACUUUGGAAAGAGAGUCAAACAGCACGUGAAAUUGUUGAAAGGGAAGCGCUUGCAGCCAGACUUGCUUGCAGUUGCUCAUCCGGGCUUUUGCCCGGUGCACUCUUCUGCAGGCAGGCCAGCAUCAGUUUGGGCGGUGGGAUAAAGGUCUCUGUCACGUACCUCUCUUCGGGGAGGACUUAUAGGGGAGGCGACAUACCACCAGCCUGGACUGAGGUCCGCGCAUCUGCUAGGAUGCUGGCGUAAUGGCUGUAAGCGGCCCGUCUUGAAACACGGACCAAGGAGUCUAACAUCUAUGCGAGUGUUUGGGUGUCAAGCCCGAGCGCGUAAUGAAAGUGAACGGAGGUGGGAACCCGCAAGGGCGCACCAUCGACCGAUCCUGAAGUUUACGGAAGGAUUUGAGUAAGAGCAUGGCUGUUGGGACCCGAAAGAUGGUGAACUAUGCUUGAAUAGGGUGAAGCCAGAGGAAACUCUGGUGGAGGCUCGCAGCGGUUCUGACGUGCAAAUCGAUCGUCAAAUUUGGGCAUAGGGCGAAAGACUAAUCGAACAUCAUGGGUCG